AACAAUAUUCCACUCCCCCUCGUCACUUUGCCUGAGCUGAGAAAAAUGAAGAUCUUCAACUGGGUGCACAAGACUCAUAACCUCCUCAAAGAUGGACUGGCUCGAAAUGUUAAGAAGACUGAUUCCAUUGCUAUCGACACAAAUUCAAAAGUCUUACUCGAUCAAGUAGCUCUGUUUGAACUGCUGGAUGGUUGGCGAUAUGGCGUUCUAACAAUCAGGACCUUUGGUUUUGACACUUUGAAAUCCUUGGGCCACCAAAAAGGCCACUUAGCCUCCGAAAACGACGACGACGACCAAGUAAAGACGAAGAUGAAGAUAGCAACAGUGAGGAAGAAGUGAACCCACUGUUGUUCGGCCAUAGUUUUGAGGACCAUUCUGGGAAGCUGAGAAAAAGAACUACCCUAGCAGACCUCUUUACGAAGAAUCUGACAUGAAAAACAAGGCCACCACUCUUGGCGUAGAGUUAAAUCCUUGCGAAAAGGCUUCUUUUUGUAAAGAGGAGACUUCUUUUGCCAAAAAAUUCGUUCCACGUGUAGGAAAGGAUUCAAGUCCCAUCAAAAUGCUAAACAAAAUGAAGAAGAGGAUGAUGAAAAGGAAGAUCCACUCGGAGCUUGAACGCAAGGAUAAUAAAAGGGAGGGGGUAAUGCAUGAAAGCCCUAAUCUAAUCUAUAUAUAUGUUGUUGGUGCCAAGAAUCAUGAAGCUCAAGUCAGUGUAUAAGUUUAUCUUCAUUCAGAUGAUGUUAUAGCUUCAGCUUUGAGUGAUGAUGACCUAAUACGCCCACAAGUUGAUAUUUUCUUUUUCUGGUG